rnacentral:RNase_P_RNA from 1 species
GAAGUUGGCCAGACAGUCGCUCUUGUGAUGUCUCGAUUAUUUGCUUGCAGAUAAAAGGGUGCGCAGGGGAGGAAAGUCCGGGCUCCACAGGGCAGAGCGCCAGGUAACACCUGGGGGGUGUGAACCCACGGAAAGUGCAACAGAGAGUAGACCGCCUAAGUUCAAGGUGCUGGAUCGCUUUUAGCGUGAAGGCAAACCAGAACCGGUAAGGGUGAAAGGGUGCGGUAAGAGCGCACCGCGCAACUGGCAACAGGCUGCGGCAUGGUAAACCCCGCUCGGAGCAAGACCAAAUAGGCCCUCAAUGAUGCGGCCCGUAUCGAGGGCGGGUAGGUUGCUUGAGGCUGAUGGUGACAUCAGUCCCAGAUGAAUGACUGUCCACGACAGAACCCGGCUUAUGGCUGACUUCAUUU